UUAGACAAGUGCUGGAAUUAGGUUAAUUCUAGAGGAAAGUCCAUGCUCACACAGUUCUGCGAUGACUGUAGUGUUCGUGCUUAAGGAAAAAAUAACUUAAGGUAAUGUUUUGCAUUAACGGCGGUUUAGCACCUAAAGAGAUUUCUAUGGUGAUUAACUGUAAAGUGCCACAGUGACGAAUUUUUAGGAAACUAAAAAGUGAAACGCGGUAAACCCCACGAGUGAGAAACCCAAAUUAUGGUAGGGGAGUCUUAAUAAGAAGAAAUGAAUUCUUUUAAGAACUAGAAAUAGUAGAUAGAUACUUGUCACCUAGUAAUAGGUACAGAACAUGGCUUAUU
rnacentral:RNase_P_RNA from 1 species